rnacentral:tRNA from 1 species
CCCGCUGAGCGGGCCGGGCCGGGCCGGGCGCCGUCGGUACCGGCGCCGUCAGUACCGGUAGUGCUCGGGCUUGUACGGCCCGUCGACGGGG